rnacentral:rRNA from 1 species
UACGAAGGGGGCGAGCGUUGUUCGGAUUUACUGGGCGUAAAGGGCGCGUAGGCGGCGGGUCAAGUCGAGUGUGAAAGCCCCGGGCUCAACCUGGGAAUUGCGCUCGAGACUGGUCUGCUUGAGUUCGGGAGAGGAGCGUGGAAUUCCCAGUGUAGAGGUGAAAUUCGUAGAUAUUAGGAAGAACACCGGUGGCGAAGGCGGCCCACUGGAUCGGUACUGACGCUGAGGUGCGAAAGCGUGGGGAGCAAACAGG